rnacentral:rRNA from 1 species
CUCCUACGAGAGGCAGCAGUGAGGAAUAUUGGUCAAUGGGCUUACGCCUGAACCAGCCAAGUCGCGUGAGGGAAGACUGCCCUAUGGGUUGUAAACCUCUUUUGUCAGGGAGCAACGCCGGCUACGUGUAGCCGGACUGAGAGUACCUGAAGAAAAAGCAUCGGCUAACUCCGUGCC